rnacentral:rRNA from 1 species
GAGUGGCGGACGGGUGAGUAACGCGUGGGUAACGUGCCCUGUACACACGGAUAACAUACAGAAAGGUAUGCUAAUACGAGAUAAUAUGCUUUUAUCGCAUGGUAGAAGUAUCAAAGCUUUUGCGGUACAGGAUGGACCCGUGUCUGAUUAGCUAGUUGGUAAGGUAACGGCUUACCAAGGCGAUGAUCAGUAGCCGACGUGAGAGGGUGAUCGGCCACAUUGGAAAUGAGACACGGUCCAAACUCCUACGGGAGGCAGCAGUGGGGAAUAUUGCACAAUGGGCGAAAGCCUGAUGCAGCAACGCCGCGUGAGCGAUGAAGGCCUUCGGGUCGUAAAGUCUCUGUCCUCAAGGAAGAUAAUGACGGUACUUGAGGAGGAAGCCCCGGCUAAUUACGUGCCAGCAGCCGCGGUAAUACGUAUUGAGCAAGCGUUAUCCGGAUUUACUGGGUGUAAAGGGUGCGUAGGCGGCACAGCAAGUCAGAUGUGAAAGACCGGGGCUCAACCCCGGGGCUGCAUUUGAAACUGCCGAGCUUGAGUCCGGGAGAGGCAGGCGGAAUUCCUAGUGUAGCGGUGAAAUGCGUAGAUAUUAGGAGGAACACCAGUGGCGAAGGCGGCUUGCUGGACACGGAACUGACGCUGAGGCACGAAAGCGUGGGGAGCAAAACAGGAUUAGAUACCCUGGUAGUCCACGCCGUAAACGAUGAAUACUAGGUGUCGGGGCCGUAUAGGCUUCGGUGCAGCCGCCAACGGCAGUAAGUAUUCCACCUGGGGAGUACGUUCGCAAGAAGGCAUCUCAAAGGAAUUGACUGGGGGCCCGCGACAAGCGGUGGAUGCAUGUGGUUGAAUUAGAAGCAACGAGAAGAACCUCACCAGGUCGGGGCAUCCUUUUGGCAGGGAUUUAUCCGUCCUUUUCGUUUGGGACAGAAGAGACUAGGUGGCGCAUGGUAGUAGUCAGCUCGUGUCGCGAGAUGUUGGGUAAGUCCCGCAAUGAGCGCAACCCCGAUCUUCAGUAGCCAGCGGUCAGGCCGGGCUCUUUGGAGAGACGACCAGGGACAUCCCGGAGGAAGGAGGGGACGACGUCAAAUUAUCAUGCCCGCUAUGAUGUGGGAGACACACGUGCUACAAUGGAGGAUUCAGAGUGAGGCGAGCCCGUGAGGGGGAGCGAGCCACAAAAAGGCCGUCCCAGUUCGGAGUGUAGUAUGCAACCAGAAUACACGAAGCAGGAAUUGUUAGUAAUCGCGAAUCAGAAUGUUGCGGUGAACAAGUUCCCGGUUCUAGCACACACCGCCCGUCA